GCAUUAUUAAAAGUUGAAGCAGUGUUGCUUUCCUCGACCAAUCAUCAAGCCCAGGAAAGUUAUAUCUCGACUAGGAUGGCUACCCCCAACGCUACAGGGAACUGCCCGGCUGCAAUGAAGGCUACUUCUAAUGGAGCCUUCCAAAACGAAAACCCUCUUGAUUACGCGCUUCCUCUGAUCAUCCUACAGAUCUGCUUGGUGGUUGUGUUUACAAGGCUCUUAGCUUACCUUCUUAAACCUCUCAAACAGCCACGGGUCAUUGCUGAGAUCAUUGUAAGUCUCAUUCACAGGGCUGGUCUUGAGUCCAUACGUGAGAAACAUCCGUAUGGAGCCUACAAUUUUUGUAGUUUUUAAGGCCAAUUUUUUCUUUGGUUGUUAGCAGAAAAAAUAUAAAUAGGAAUUCCAAAAACGUAUUUCAAACCUAUAACAAAAUAAAAAUCUUGAAUAUUUUUCAUUAUUUAUAUGAAAAAAUAAAGAGUUAACUUUUAGAACUGGAAAUAUAUUUGUUCGAAGGGUAAUGCAAUUUUUAAUUGCAAAUUUAAUUUUAAAUUUUAGUUAAUUUAAUUUAUUAUUUAACCAAGUGGUCUUGGCCUAGUGGUAAAAGGGUUCCGGCUGGAGCUUCCGCCCUGGUUUCGAUUCCCCUUGGCCAUCCAUAGACGCCUUCAGUGGCAAGAAAAUCCGGAUUUCUACGGGGCUUUUGGUGAUUAGUCUUUGGGCCUAGAAAGCUUUUGGGAAGAUUAUCAAAAAUUUUUUAUUUAUUUAUUAUUUAUGGCAGAGAUAUUUAGUUUUGUUUUGGAUCCGGAAUAUCUCAUGACAGGCACUGCUCAUUUACAUUCUUUGUAAUGCUUUUUUUUUUCUUUAAUACCUUUUGUUGAUAAUAGAUGGUUUCUGUAGGGAGGGAUACUGCUUGGACCUACUGCUCUUGGACGAAGCAAGGUCUAUCUAGACACUAUCUUCCCAGAGAAGAGCAUGACGGUUUUAGACACACUUGCGAACAUCGGUCUUCUGUUCUUCUUGUUCCUAGUUGGGCUUGAGCUUGACUUUGCAGCCAUCAGAAAAACCGGAAAGAAGUCACUUUUGAUAGCCUUAGCUGGGAUCUCACUUCCUUUUGUAAUAGGUGUAGGUGCAUCUUUUAUUCUCAGCUCCACCAUAAGCAAAGGAGUCCAUCAGCUACCCUUUAUAGUCUUCAUGGGUGUUGCCUUAUCCAUCACUGCCUUCCCUGUGCUUGCUCGUAUCCUAGCUGAGCUAAAGCUUCUAACAACCGACGUUGGACGUAUGGCCAUGUCUGCAGCUGGAGUCAAUGACAUUGCAGCUUGGAUAUUCCUUGCACUCGCCAUUGCUCUCUCAGGAAAUGACAGUUCUUCUCUUGUACCUCUUUGGGUUCUCCUCUCUGGAUCCGGUUUUGUGAUCUUUGCUAUUUUGGUAAUCAAACCUAUCCUUGGCUUUAUGGCUAAACGCUGUCCUGAAGGAGAGCCUGUCAAGGAACUCUAUGUCUGCGUCACUCUGACAUUGGUUUUAGCAGCAAGCUUUCUGACAGACACUAUUGGGAUACACGCGCUGUUCGGCGCGUUUGUGGUUGGUAUAGUGACUCCAAAACAAGGACCGUUUUGUAGGAUCUUAACCGAGAAGAUAGAGGAUCUUGUCUCAGGGCUACUUCUACCAUUGUACUUUGCGUCAAGCGGUUUAAAAACCGAUGUAACAACCAUCAGAGGUGCACAAUCUUGGGGACUUCUAGUUCUUGUUAUACUCACCACUUGUUUUGGUAAGAUUGUGGGAACCGUUGGAGCCUCUAUGCUAUGCAAGGUUCCCUUCAGAGAAGCUAUGGCACUUGGAGUACUAAUGAACACCAAAGGUUUAGUAGAGCUUAUUGUUCUAAACAUCGGUAAGGACCGGAAGGUGUUGAAUGAUCAAGUAUUUGCUAUCUUAGUCCUAAUGGCAUUGGUCACAACGUUUAUUACAACACCACUUUUGUUAGCGAUUUACAAGCCUGCGAGAAAAGGAGCACCUUACAAGCAUAGAACAAUACAAAGAAAGGACCAUGACUCCGAGUUGCGGAUACUCGCUUGCUUCCACAGUACACGCAACAUACCUACACUGAUCAACAUGAUAGAAUCAUCGAGAGGAACAGGGCUAAAGGGACGUCUCUGCGUCUACGCUAUGCAUCUAAUGGAGCUCUCUGAGCGGUCAUCAGCAAUUGCAAUGGUUCAUAAAGCGCGGUACAACGGCCUACCGAUCUGGAACAAGAUAGAGAGGUCCACGGAUCAAAUGGUGAUAGCUUUCGAAGGAUACCAGCAUCUCCGCGCAGUAGCGGUUAGACCGAUGACGGCAAUCUCGGAUCUCAGCACCAUCCACGAGGAUAUCUGCACGAGCGCGCACCAGAAACGAGUCGCGAUGAUUCUCCUCCCGUUCCACAAGCAUCAGAGGAUGGACGGAGCGAUGGAGUCGAUAGGACACGCGUUCCACGAAGUGAACAAACGCGUCCUACAACAAGCUCCCUGCUCCGUCGGGAUUCUUGUGGACAGAGGACUCGGAGGAGCGUCCCACGUCGUGGCCAGCGAAGUUGAUUACAAGAUCGUUGUCCCGUUCUUCGGAGGGUUAGACGACAGAGAAGCUUUGGCCUACGGGAUGAAGAUGGUGGAGCAUCCGGGGAUCACGCUGACCAUUCUCAAGUUCGUAGCUUCGAGAGGGACGUUGAAGAGGUUCGAGAAAGGUGAAGAGGAGGAAGAUGAGAAGAAGGAGAAAGAGAUUGACGAAGAUUUCGUUAGGGAGUUGAUGAACGAUCCGAGAGGGAAUGAGUCGCUGGCCUACGAGGAGAGAGUCGUUGAGAGUAAAGAAGAUGUUCGCGCGACUCUUAAGGCGACGAGCAAGUGUAAUCUGUUUGUUGUCGGGAGGAACGCUGCGGUUGUGCCGUUGGUUAAUAGUACGGACUGUCCCGAGCUAGGACCAGUUGGACGUUUGUUGUCGUCUUCGGAGUUUUCAACUACUGCGUCGGUGCUUGUUGUUCAGGGAUACGAUUCGGCGGCGGAUACACGGCCCGUGGUAGAGGAUGAUGAUUAUGAACAGUCUUCUAGAGAAAUUGGAGACUCAACGGUCUGAACGGAUCUAACUUAUUACAGAGCUUAAAGGAAAAGAAAAAAUGUCGUCUCUCUGUUUUUAUAUUUGCCUCACGAUAUAUUUUUGUUGGGACUUGGUCCUAAACUCUUAGACCCGAAAGACCCUUUUAAAACUAAAUAAAAAAUAAAAAUAAUAAAAUAAUAAGAAAACUUACCUUGGUUAUCGAGAUUGAGAGUAUCAGCAUUGCUGAUGCUCUUAGUUACCCUAUCUGCUGCAGGCUUGCAGCCUUUGUUUCCUUCUGAGAAGUAUGAGUGUAUAUUGUACCUAUGUUGACUUCUUUCUCUAUAACGUGGUCAGUUGUUCUUACUCCUUUUAUGCAUCUCAUGAAUGUUUAGAUAUUGUGUAUCUUAUAUCAUAUAUCCGAUCCAUAUACAUUGAUAUAAGUGAAAAUGGUUGAUGUUGAAGAAUAUAGCUCAACUUUUUUCAGGAGACAUGUACAAGAGCCGAGAGCCAGAGGCGUACUUAAUUUGUCAUGAGAAAGACAACUGUCUUAAACCCCAACUUAUAUAACACAUUUUAGAGGCUCCAUUUUAAUUCCACUUUAAAUUGGUUAUAUUGUAUAUAUAAAUUUCUCUUAGUUUUGGAUUUAAACAAUAAUUUAUUUAUGUUAUUUAUAUUUAUUUAAUUCUAUUUUAGACUUUUAGAUUUAAUUUAUCAUCUAUCUUCAUAAAACUAUUAUUUUAUUUAUUUAAAUUUUAGACUUUAAAUUAUAUUUUUUUAGCUUGUAUGAUUUUAUUUUUACUAUUGUAGUAAAACAUUUAGAAGCUUACCAUUUAACAUAUCUAAAUAAGCACAUAUUUAAUUAAACAAUUAUAAAAUCUUCAUAGAUAAUUUGAAAUCUUGCAUUUUUGGUUUAAUAAACUAUGCAUUUUGUAUUCUUUUAAGAAAUAAUAUUUUCAAUUUUUCAUAUGAAUCUAUAAAUAUAAAAUACAUGAUUUUUUGUAAAGUUUUAUGUAAUAGAUAUUUACUAAUUAUGAAAACUUUUUUACUCUAGCUUUAGGCCCCCAAAUACCUAGUCACGGCACUUACAAGAGCUUGUAAAUUUAGGACAAACAAAGACGAAAAUGUCGGCGUAGUCUAGGCAGUUAUGUGAGUAAGAGAUGCGAUUUGGUUGGAAGUUAAGUAACUGACAGUCUAUAAAUAGAAAAAAAUGCGAGGUGUAUGCUUACCCUGGAGUUGGUAUGUCCUGUUCAUUCUCGUCUUUCUAUUAUUAGCACUAUUGACAUUAUUAGUUUUCUGUUUCUCUCCUUUUAUAUCCUCACUUCUUGAAGUAGAUUAUGUUCAUGACACACAGAGACGUAGCAGAAUAGAUCUUGUUUCCUUUUCUCCUUACGCCCAAAGGCAAUGAGGGAGCAGCCAAGGCAUUAUUAAAAGUUGAAGCAGUGUUGCUUUCCUCGACCAAUCAUCAAGCCCAGGAAAGUUAUAUCUCGACUAGGAUGGCUACCCCCAACGCUACAGGUAACUGCCCGACUGCAAUGAAGGCUAGUUCUAAUGGAGCCUUCCAAAACGAAAACCCUCUUGAUUACGCGCUUCCUCUGAUCAUCCUACAGAUCUGCUUGGUGGUUGUGUUUACAAGGCUCUUAGCUUACCUUCUUAAACCUCUCAAACAGCCACGGGUCAUUGCUGAGAUCAUUGUAAGUCUCAUUCACAG
rnacentral:lncRNA from 1 species